CGUAUCACUUAAAGCGAUUCAGCGGGUUACGAUUGACGGAGCGAAGCGACGUCAAAGCGUAUACAAAGUCGAGUCGGUUUAAGGAUACGUUCGUUGGGUAGGGGAGCGUUCUGUAAGCCUGUGAAGGUGUGUCGUGAGGCAUGCUGGAGGUAUCAGAAGUGCGAAUGCUGACAUAAGUAACGAUAAAGCGGGUGAAAAGCCCGCUCGCCGGAAGACCAAGGGUUCCUGUCCAACGUUAAUCGGGGCAGGGUGAGUCGACCCCUAAGGCGAGGCCGAAAGGCGUAGUCGAUGGGAAACGGGUUAAUAUUCCCGUACUUGGUGUUACUGCGAAGGGGGGACGGAGAAGGCUAUGUUGGCCGGGCGACGGUUGUCCCGGUUUAAGCGUGUAGGUGUGUGUUCCAGGUAAAUCCGGUUCACUUUAACACUGAGGCGUGACGACGAGGCACUACGGUGCUGAAGCAACAAAUGCCCUGCUUCCAGGAAAAGCCUCUAAGCAUCAGGUAACAUCAAAUCGUACCCCAAACCGACACAGGUGGUCAGGUAGAGAAUACCAAGGCGCUUGAGAGAACUCGGGUGAAGGAACUAGGCAAAAUGGUGCCGUAACUUCGGGAGAAGGCACGCUGACACGUAGGUGAAGUGAUUUACUCAUGGAGCUGAAGUCAGUCGAAGAUACCAGCUGGCUGCAACUGUUUAUUAAAAACACAGCACUGUGCAAACACGAAAGUGGACGUAUACGGUGUGACGCCUGCCCGGUGCCGGAAGGUUAAUUGAUGGGGUCAGCGCAAGCGAAGCUCCUGAUCGAAGCCCCGGUAAACGGCGGCCGUAACUAUAACGGUCCUAAGGUAGCGAAAUUCCUUGUCGGGUAAGUUCCGACCUGCACGAAUGGCGUAAUGAUGGCCAGGCUGUCUCCACCCGAGACUCAGUGAAAUUGAACUCGCUGUGAAGAUGCAGUGUACCCGCGGCAAGACGGAAAGACCCCGUGAACCUUUACUAUAGCUUGACACUGAACAUUGAGCCUUGAUGUGUAGGAUAGGUGGGAGGCUUUGAAGUGUGGACGCCAG
rnacentral:rRNA from 1 species